AUGAGUAACACAACUAUAUCUGUUUGUUCCUGGAAUGUACGAGGACUAGGUGAUGAAUCCAAAUGCGCCGAUGUCCUUUCUGAACUGAUCAGUAUCAAACCCCACUGCGCCCUCAUACAAGAAUCAAAGCUCAAUGAGAUCACCGAACAAAAAUUUAGGUCCUUCUUACCACGGUCUCUAGAUCAAAAAAUCGUCCAACCAGCAGACGGAUCGGCCGGAGGAACCAUCUCUGCUUUCAACAAAAACUACCUCUCCCCAAUCUCUCACUCCAACCACCGUUUUGCCACAUCCAGUACACUCAAAUCACUCGCCCACCCCCUUCCCUUUGUUAUCACAAACGUAUAUGCACCCUCAAACCGCAACCACAAGCAAGACUUCCUCGACGAACUCAGACGCAUCCAAGAAAAUGACCAAACCCCGUGGCUCAUUGCAGGCGACUUUAACCAAAUCCGCUUUCCUAGUGAAAAAAAUAACCGUAAUUUUCACCAACGCGAAGCUGAUGCUUUUAACACUUUGAUCAACGACCUCGCGUUAAUCGAACUACCACUGCUUGAUAGACUUUUCACUUGGUCUAACAAA
rnacentral:rRNA from 1 species